UCCAUGGUGGUGCAGUUGGUAGCACUGUUGUUUUGGAGCAAGAAGCUCUUGGGUUCAAAUCCAAUUGUGGAG